ACCCGACUGGCGCAAUGGUAGCGCGUCAGACUUCUAACUUCACUGGUUUGGAUAUAGCGAUCUGAAGGCUGUGGGUUCGACCCCCACGUUGGGUU